rnacentral:rRNA from 1 species
UACGUAGGGGGGCUAGCGUUGUCCGGAUUUAUUGGGCGUAAAGAGCGUGUAGGCGGCCAGGUAGGUCUGCUGUGAAAACUCGAGGCUCAACCUCGAGACGUCGGCGGAAACCAUCUGGCUAGAGUCCGGAAGAGGAGAGUGGAAUUCCUGGUGUAGCGGUGAAAUGCGCAGAUAUCAGGAAGAACACCCGUGGCGAAGGCGGCUCUCUGGGACGGUACUGACGCUGAGGUGCGAAAAGCGUGGGGAGCGAACAGG